UACGUAGGUGGCAAGCGUUGUCCGGAUUUAUUGGGCGUAAAGAGCGUGUAGGCGGCUUGGUAGGUCUCGCGUCAAAACCUGAGGCUCAACCUCAGUUCGCGUGGGAAACCACCUAGCUAGAGUCCGGAAGAGGAGAACGGAAUUCCCAGUGUAGCGGUGAAAUGCGCAGAUAUUGGGAAGAACACCAGUGGCGAAGGCGGUUCUCUGGGACGGUACUGACGCUGAGACGCGAAAGCGUGGGGAGCGAACAGG
rnacentral:rRNA from 1 species